rnacentral:rRNA from 1 species
UACGUAGGUGGCAAGCGUUGUCCGGAAUUAUUGGGCGUAAAGCGCGCGCAGGCGGUCCUUUAAGUCUGAUGUGAAAGCCCACGGCUCAACCGUGGAGGGUCAUUGGAAACUGGGGGACUUGAGUGCAGAAGAGGAAAGCGGAAUUCCCGGUGUAGCGGUGAAAUGCGCAGAUAUCGGGAGGAACACCAGUGGCGAAGGCGGCACUCUGGGCCGGAACUGACGCUGAGGAGCGAAAGCGUGGGGAGCGAACAGG